rnacentral:miRNA from 13 species
AGGUUGGGAUCAGUGGAAAUGCU